UACGGGGGGGGCAAGCGUUGUUCGGAAUUACUGGGCGUAAAGGGCGUGUAGGUGGCCAACUAAGUCCGACGUGAAAUCCCCAGGCUUAACCUGGGAACUGCGUCGGAUACUGGAUGGCUUGAAUUCGGGAGAGGAAUGCAGAAUUCCAGGUGUAGCAGUGAAAUGCGUAGAUAUCGGGAGGAACACCAGUGGCGAAGGCGACUUCCUGGCCUGUUCUUGACGCUGAGGCGCGAAAGCUAGGGGAGCAAACGGG
rnacentral:rRNA from 1 species